rnacentral:rRNA from 1 species
UACGUAGGGUGCAAGCGUUGUCCGGAAUUAUUGGGCGUAAAGAGCUCGUAGGCGGUCUGUCGCGUCGGCUGUGAAAUCCCGAGGCUCAACCUCGGGUCUGCAGUCGAUACGGGCAAACUAGAGUACUGCAGGGGAGACUGGAAUUCCUGGUGUAGCGGUGGAAUGCGCAGAUAUCAGGAAGAACACCGGUGGCGAAGGCGGGUCUCUGGGCCGAUACUGACGCUGAGGAGCGAAAGCGUGGGGAGCGAACAGG